UACGUAGGGCGCAAGCGUUGUUCGGAUUCAUUGGGCGUAAAGGGUGCGUAGGCGGGUCUUUAAGUCAGGGGUGAAAUCCUGGAGCUCAACUCCAGAACUGCCUUUGAUACUGAAGAUCUUGAGUUCGGGAGAGGUGAGUGGAACUGCGAGUGUAGAGGUGAAAUUCGUAGAUAUUCGCAAGAACACCAGUGGCGAAGGCGGCUCACUGGCCCGAUACUGACGCUGAGGCACGGAAAGCGAUGGGGAGCAACAGGG
rnacentral:rRNA from 1 species